GUGGGGAAUAUUGGACAAUGGGCGAAAGCCUGAUCCAGCCAUGCCGCGUGUGUGAAGAAGGUCUUCGGAUUGUAAAGCACUUUAAGUUGGGAGGAAGGGCAGUAAGUUAAUACCUUGCUGUUUUGACGUUACCGACAGAAUAAGCACCGGCUAACUUCGUGCCAGCAGCCGCGGUAAUACGAAGGGUGCAAGCGUUAAUCGGAAUUACUGGGCGUAAAGCGCGCGUAGGUGGUUUUGUAAGUUGGAGGUGAAAUCCCCGGGCUCAACCUGGGAACUGCCUCCAAAACUGGAUGACUAGAGUACGGUAGAGGGUAGUGGAAUUUCCUGUGUAGCGGUGAAAUGCGUAGAUAUAGGAAGGAACACCAGUGGCGAAGGCGACUACCUGGACUGAUACUGACACUGAGGUGCGAAAGCGUGGGAGCAAACAGGAUUAGAAACCCUGGUAGUCC
rnacentral:rRNA from 1 species